GAAGUACCCCCUCUGUCCCGAAUUACUUGUCUUAUAUUUGUCUAGAUGCAUAUGUAUCUAGACAUGUUUUAGUGUUAGAUAUGUUCAUAUCUAGAAAAAUCUAAAACAAGAAUUUUGGAAGGAGGUAAUAC
rnacentral:pre_miRNA from 1 species